GAUCCUGGCUCAGGAUGAACGCUGGCGGCGUGCCUAAUACAUGCAAGUCGAACGAGAGUGCUUGCACUCGAGUGGCGAACGGGUGAGUAACACGUAGGUAACCUGCCUCACAGUUUGGGAUACCCAGAGGAAACUUUGGCUAAUACCGGAUAAUGGUUGGAAGGCAUCUUCCGACUCUAAAAGGGGCCUUUAAAGCCUCGCUGAGAGAUGGACCUGCGGCGCAUUAGCUAGUUGGUGAGAUAACAGCCCACCAAGGCGAGGAUGCGUAGCCGACCUGAGAGGGUGAACGGCCACACUGGAACUGAGACACGGUCCAGACUCCUACGGGAGGCAGCAGUAGGGAGUUUUCGGCAAUGGGGGAAACCCUGACCGAGCAACGCCGCGUGAGUGAUUGAAGGUCUUCGGAUUGUAAAGCUCUGUUGUAGGGGAAGAACGAUAUGAUGAGGAAAUGCUUCAUAUUUCGACGGUACCUUAUUAGAAAGCCACGGCUAACUACGUGCCAGCCGCCGC
rnacentral:rRNA from 1 species